AUUGAACGCUGGCGGCAGGCUUAACACAUGCAAGUCGAGCGGAGAUGAGGUGCUUGCACCUUAUCUUAGCGGCGGACGGGUGAGUAAUGCUUAGGAAUCUGCCUAUUAGUGGGGGACAACAUUCCGAAAGGAAUGCUAAUACCGCAUACGUCCUACGGGAGAAAGCAGGGGAUCUUCGGACCUUGCGCUAAUAGAUGAGCCUAAGUCGGAUUAGCUAGUUGGUGGGGUAAAGGCCUACCAAGGCGACGAUCUGUAGCGGGUCUGAGAGGAUGAUCCGCCACACUGGGACUGAGACACGGCCCAGACGCCUACGGGGGGCAGCAGUUGGGAAUAUUGGACAAUGGGGGGAACCCUGAUCCAGCCAUGCCGCGUGUGUGAAGAAGACCUUAUGGUUGUAAAGCACUUUAAGCGAGGAGGAGGCUACUGAGACUAAUACUCUUGGAUAGUGGACGUUACUCGCAGAAUAAGCACCGGCUAACUCUGUGCCAGCCGCCGCGGUAACAC
rnacentral:rRNA from 1 species